ensembl:lncRNA
CUUUAUUUUGCUUUUCGCCCUCUCUCACUCCCUCCUCCUGCCCAGAAGGUUCCCAGAGCUUGGCGACCCCAGGCCGAGGAGGCCUGCUGCCCACCCAGGUCCCCACCUGUCCGAGUGGCGGCUCCCGCCUCCAUCAGGCUCGGCGCGGGUCGGGGUCCACACUGACUGGCCUCGAGCGUGUGCACACCGGUGGGUACGGAUGUGAGAGUGCGCGCGAGGGGGGGCCAGGGCGGCUUCCGGGUUCUGCUGCCACCUCCCCCGCCUCGGCUCAGUCCAUGCUCCCCGGGAGGUCAGACCCAACUCCAAAGUUAGGAACAACAACAAAAAAAAACUCAAGAAAACAAAAUACACGUACGUCAUCCGAGUCCUUUGCAUAGAAGAGCCCAUACGGCUCCAAAAUCGCGGUCUCCGGCUCGCCCCAGCAGGCAUCCUUCUUCCCUUUACUCCUACAGGGCUAGACACUGGUCCCACGGCUCUUUUGCCGCUGGCCCGGGGAGAGCAAGCAGAAGUCGGCGCACCAGGCUCUCGGCGCUCGGGCUCCCGGCCAGCGCCUCCUCGCCGCCCUCCCCACCGGCCCCCGGGCGCGAGCCAGGCCGCGCCCCCCUUUCGUCCACUGGGGUGCAACCUCCCCGACCCCCUUCCUGGGGAGGGUGCGGGGAAACUCCGGGUUCCAACCGAGAUCCGCGCUGCUGGCAGCUGGCGGGGAGAAACCAGAGCUGGGGGGCGACGGUGCAGCCGGGCGCCAGCGUGUUUGUACGUGACUCUGUGUGAGAGACUCCAGGUGGACCAAGAAACCCAGAUUUCAGGAAUCACAAGUUGCCAGACAAGAGUGCUCUGCGAGGAGCUGAUCGAGACGCGGGAACUUCGGCGGCGCUGGUGCGGAAAACGCUGGCUCCAAAGUACACAGCUCAGAUUUGCCUCUGUGGAGGGACCGACAGAAGAAAAAGAACGGAUUCAUUUUGCACAUUUCAUUCAGAUGUUGCGGGUCUACAAAGCCAUCCGGAGAGACAGAGAGAUAAGGAGAGAAACAAGGAAAGCGGAGAAUGCGGAUAUCUGAACCUUGAGCCAAAAUACACCAAAGAAGAGGUUCUCCUCACAUCCUCUACCUCCUGGAAGUUACAGGCUCUGACCGGCUCCACGGUGCACUCAAAUCAAAGUCUGACCUCUGUGAGCUGGACGUCUUCCAUCUUCCAGAGCUGGCUUAAGAUCGAACCAUUAGGGGGAUUACCCUGGUUACCCUUCAUGUUUAAAUAGAAGGAUGUCCUUAAACACAUCUCCCUCUUUCUCUGGACUCUCAAUGGGAGGGGCAGGAGGUUUCAGGUCGUAACAUUUUUCUAGUUUGAUGAAACACCAGGCCUUCUCCAGGGCUUAAAUUUGCCUUAUAAGGUCAUUUCACUACCACCCGUCCCUCAGCCCCAUCCUCUCCCAAUCAGAGCUUCCCCACCAGUGCUGGGCUGGAGAUAUGGGGUGCUGAUGUCUGCCAAAACCAGUGGAGGCUCAGGGGGCAACAGACUACAGUGACUCAUGAUUGAGGGUUUUGGGAAUUUCCACCAGAAAUCACUGGGCCUCUCAAGGGUUUUGAAGAAUCAAAACCUAGAUACUUUGCUGAUACUUCUCAUCCUUGAACUUGCCCUCAUUUUAUUUCUCCGUGACUUGGAGAAUAGGUUACAAUUUCAGGCUUUUCCAGCUGCCAUUUUUUGUCAGUCCUAAUUUGGUUGGAUUUUCAGGGUUUUUUUGCUAUGUGAUGACAUACCCCUCCUUGUUGGAGAAGAAAAUAGCUGACUCUUUUUUUGUUGUUGUUAUUCAAAGGAAACAAAUUCUUGUGUAGUUAAGCUUUUAAAACAAAGUACUUUGUACUGUUUAAGCUAGGCUUCAGUAACUCAAAAACACCUUACCUUUAAAACUAAAACUUUUUGCAGAUUAAACAGAAAUAGGUGGUUUCCUAGGUAUCUUUUUAAUAGGAAUGCUGUUAACAGGGACAGUGUUAGGCUUUGGCAUUUAGGCUAUGUGAUAUUUCAUGGUCAAAAUUGAGGAGAAUCACAACAUCAACACUGACAACACACACACACACACACACAACACAAACGCACAGGUAAAAGGAAUUCUGGAACUUGCCAUUUCACACUUUCUUAGCUAAAUAUAGGCUUUGCUGUUUAUUUCUUCCUUAUAAUGAGAAGCUGGGUGUGCCACCCCAUGGACUAUACAGUCCAUGGAAUUCUCCAGGCCAGAAUACUGGAGUGGGUAGCCUUUCCCUUUUCUAGGGGAUUUUCCCAACCCAGGGAUUGAACCCAGGUCUUCCGCAUUGCAGGGGCAAUCUUUACCAGCUGAACCACAGGGAAGCCCAGAGAAGUAGAUGACAAAUGUUAGCUCACACCACCCAUUGAUGACAGGCAGAGACUACCUUCCAGGCUAGUCAGUGCCCUUUCUGCCACACCAUCCUACCUGCUACUUCUUUGGAUAAGAAGGCAAAUCCACAUGCAAAAUCCCGCACAGUCCCCAGAUGUGACCCUGUGUGUGUGUGUGUGCUUAGUCGUGUCAAUCAUUUUGCAACCCCAUGGACUGUAGCCCACUAGGCUCCUCUGUCCAUGGGAUUUUCCAGGCAAGAGUGCUGGAGUGGGGUGCCAUCUCCUCUUCCAGGGGAUCCUCCUGACCCAGGGAUCAAAUCCGAAUCUCCUGCAUCUCCUGCAUUGGCCCUUUACCCUGUGCCACCUGGAAGCCCCAGAUGUGACCCUGCUGCUGCUGCUGCUGCUGCUAAGUCGCUUCAGUUGUGUCCGACUCUGUGUGACCCCAUAGACGGCAGCCCACCAGGCUCCGCUGUCCCUGGGAUUCUCCAGGCAAGAACACUGGAGUGGGUUGCCAUUUCCUUCUCCAAAAUGUGACCCUAGGAAUCACCAAAUCCUACAGUUCAAAAAUACAGUUCUCACACUGACCUGCCAACCCCACAGCCAACCUUGAAGGGGUACAGGCAGUUCCCAGGCUAAAUUGUACAAUUCCACACCCAGGACAGUGGGACAGUGAACCGUAAGGCCCACUUCUUCACCCCUGGCUUAUUUUUUGAGUUCAGGCUGUACCCCAGUAAUCACCUCCAGUGAAUGAGAGUUGUGGUCUGGGAACAUUUAGGGGCAAAUGAGAAUGAAUACACCUAUGUGUAGCUUUUCAGCAAGUUUGUCUUGUUGUUGUUUUACUCGGUCCCACCCAAGAGAGCCGCAUCAUGAAGAAUCUGUUUCCAAAUUAGAUAAGUUACCAAGCAGCUACCAAUAAGUAAGACACACUUGAUAUUUCAGAUAAGUUCUUAGCAACUGCUUCUGAGUUAGCUUUUUUUGGCUUCCUGAAGAUGUUAUUCACCAGAAAGCGUUCCCUUCUCCAGGAAUUUCAUGGAAAAAAAAAUUUUAAUUUCUGACUUUUGGUUCCCUUUGGCUGGUAGGAGGGGAGUGUGGGGCACAGUCGAGGUGAUGUGGUGGGGCCAGGUUCUAGACCACAGGGAGAGAAAUAGGAUGGGGUCUGGGGGCUGGGCAAAGCAGCAAUGUCUGUGGGACACGGGCCUCAGCUCUGUGCAGCUUCCCCAUACUACCAUGCUAGCACACUAGCUUUUUUUUUUAUCCUUUUCACUCACUGCCACCAUCCUUUUCAUCACUCAGACUUCCCAAUCUUUUUUCAGCAUCUGUAUUCCUAUAGUGGCUGCUGUGUUUACUGUGGGCUGUGGGUACCCAAGCAUUUUGUUUAAUAAUGUUGGUUAAUUCUUUUGAAAGCACUCUGAUCUGAGCAGUCUGAUCAGGGAAUGGGGCUUCUAUUCCAAUGUGGCUGCUACUGCUAAGUCACUUCAGUCGUGUCCGACUCUGUGCAACCCUAUAGACAGCAGCCCACCAGGCUCCCCUGUCCCUGGGAUUCUCCAGGCAAGAACACGAAUGGGCUGCCGUUUCCUUGUGGCAGGCAUGCCCUUCUCCUCCUCCAUGUGCUGUCAACACAAUGCCAGGCAAUGAAAAACAAUCUCUCCAGAAAUUCAGAUAUUUCCACACUGUCGGCUGUUUGGCCCUGGGAGCCAAAAUGUUCAGCCUUUCCUCCAGAUAAUAGUAUGUUACCAGGGCCCACAAUAGUCUGGGAAAUCAAGUCCCCCUUUCCCCUCUCCACAGGAGUCCUUACAGUAGACUGGGACAAAAGCCUAAGGAACCACCAGACUGAAAUUCUUGCCCAACGUGGCGGUGGGGAUGGGGAGGAAGUGUGAGGACAUCAUUCCCUUUGUGUCCGGUGGAAACUGCCUAGCACAUGUGGAUGAGACAACCCAGCUCAGCUGUGAAUGGGCUGUGUUGGUCCAGGGUGGUAGAAGGGAUGCAGGAACUGGGCUCAGAGAGCCAAGUGGGCUGGCUUUCCUCUAGCACUUCUGGUUUGGAAGCUAAUUUCAUGGGAAGACUGUCAAAUUUGACCAUCUUGAGCAUUUCCUGUGUGGGUUCAGGAAAACUAACUGGGGAUGGUGAAGUGGCAGAGGGUUACAGGGCCUUGAACUCUAUUUGCUAUGACAAGUCUCUGGUGGGCCAGAGAAGCUGCUCCUCUGUUACCCUUUCCUGUGGAGAGAAGACCUCCUGGCCCACAUCCUUCCAUAAACUCAGAUCCCAGGUCUCUGGCCUGUGAGUAGAAAAAGAGAAGAGUGUGUCACACUUAGGGUUUAAAGGAUAUGAAGCCCCAAAGGAGCAGAUAGAGGAAUUUCAGGCAUUGUCCAGCAGGUGGCAAGGAAUUUGGGGGAAUGCAAGCUGACUUGGUACUAUUUGCUAAAUUAGCCUUGCACUCCGGAUGCUUCUGGGCCCCCAUAUGUCUCCAGUGCAUGCAAGCUGCUUCUCAGAGCUGAUGCACAUGACCUUGUUUCAGUUCUGUCCAGCAUGACAGAACCUGGCCCCCUGAGCACUUGAAGUAUGAUUGGUCUGAAUGGAGAUGGGUUGUCAGUGUAAGUUAAAGUGCAGCAUAACCAACAAGACUUACUGUAUAAUAGCAUAUGGAACUCUACUCAUUAUCUUAUAAUGACCUAUAAUGGGAACAAAAUCUUGGAUAUAUAUGUAUAUGUAUAACUGAAUCACUUUGUUGUACACCUUAAAUUAAUGCAGCAUUGUAAAUCAAUAUAUUUCAAUAAAAAUGAAACACAUACACACAUCAGAUUUCAAAGACAACAUGGCAAAAAUAAAGUAUCUCAUUAAUAUUAUUUUAUUAUUUAUACAUUGACAUGACAAGUUUUUAAUUUGUUGGGUUAAAUAAAAUAAAUCAUUAAA